rnacentral:rRNA from 1 species
GAUGAACGCUAGCGGCAGGCCUAAUACAUGCAAGUCGAGGGGCAGCACGGGUAGCAAUAUCUGGUGGCGACCGGCGCACGGGUGCGUAACACGUAUACAAUCUGCCUUUUACAGGGGAAUAGCCCGGAGAAAUUCGGAUUAAUGCCCCAUAAUAGAUUUACUGGCAUCAGUAGAUUUUGAAAGCUCCGGCGGUAAAAGAUGAGUAUGCGCAUGAUUAGCUAGUUGGUAGUGUAAUGGACUACCAAGGCAACGAUCAUUAGGGGAUCUGAGGGGACUACCCCCCACACUGGUACUGAGACACGGACCAGACUCCUACGGGAGGCAGCAGUAAGGAAUAUUGGUCAAUGGAGGCAACUCUGAACCAGCCAUGCCGCGUGCAGGAUGAAGGCCCUAUGGGUCGUAAACUGCUUUUAUACGGGAGAAAACCCGAGUACGUGUACUCGGUUGAUAGUACUGUAAGAAUAAGGAUCGGCUAACUACGUGCCAGCCGCCGCCGUAACAC